rnacentral:rRNA from 1 species
UACGGGGGGGGUAAGCGUUGUUCGGAAUUACUGGGCGUAAAGGGCUCGUAGGCGGCCAACUAAGUCAUACGUGAAAUCCCUCAGCUUAACUGGGGAACUGCGUGUGAUACUGGACUGAGCUUGGAUUCGGGAGAGGGAUGUGGAAUUUCCGAUGGUAGCGGUGAAAUGCGUAGAUAUCUGGAGGAACACCGGUGGCGAAGGCGGCAUCCUGGACCGGUAUUGACGCUGAGGCGCGAAAGCUAGGGGAGCAAACGGG